CAGUUCUGUAUAGUCCGUACCGAGAACUUGUACGAGCAAGAGGCUGCGGCAGCAACAACAUCGCCAUACCCUUCUAGUUUGAAAGUUUUUUAUCGUUGAGGAUGACUAGCGUGAAAAUGUGAAACGAUGUGAUUGAUUCAGAUGUGCGAAUAACUAUUCUAUCAUUUUUAACGAAUUUUUUGUUAAUUGUCGAUGGUUUAUUUUGAUGCCAUCUCGCAUAUCGGUUCUCUUGCAAUCAAAGUGGAUGGGGAAUAGUGAAUGUCAUUCAAAUUCAGUCACUGCCAAUCAGAGUUGUAACUUAUACUCCUUGAGGAAUAAAAUGAAAGUUGCUGUAAUAAGUAUAUAGCAAUAACUUUGCAAAAUCAGUGGUGAAUUAAUGCACGUAUAUGCAAAUGUAUACGCAGUGAGUUGAAUUAUAUUUAAAACCUGUUUCAUCGUAAACCAUAAAUCAGCACAACAGCAUGUCGGAUUCAAUUUCGAAAAGUCCACCAACACACGGCACGAUGAACGGUACCGCACCGGCAAUUAUUCCAAAUUUGGUUCCAAACAAGGAUAAGGACGUGGAACGCGGCGAGAUCGAGGAUCCGUCGGGACGGGGAGCCGAGGCCAACGAAGGUGGCGGGAUAAUCCCCCCUCCAGGGGCGCCCGACUCACGUGUCCGCGAGUUGGGGGGCCGACGGAGCCCAGUUGUGCGUCUGCUGGGUCGCCUGGCGCUAGCCACGAUGAUAGCAGCGAUCCUGAUCAUGCUCUCGGCAGCGGUAUGGAUGUUCAUGGGGCCGAUGUUCCUGCUUCAGCUCUUCCUCGUCGCCGUUGUCGCCUACUUCGCGUCCGGAGGAAGGCUCAGGUGGUUCUACGUCGCCGUAAGAACACUGCCGAGGGAUAUCACGGCAGUUUUGAGAUACAUAACUUUACUGUGGUCAAUCCGAUCACACGAGAAGAAGAAUCGAUGCGUCGCAGAUAUCUUCGCGCAAUACGUGACGAAACAUCCGAACAAAACUUGCUUCAUUUACGAAGAUCAAGAAUGGACCUUCCAGCAGAUUGAGGAUUUUAGUAAUAAAGUAGCGACGGUGUUCAAGACGCAUGGAUAUCACAAAGGAGACGCCGUUGCUCUGUUUUUGGAAAAUCGGCCGGAGUUCGUUGGAAUUUGGCUAGGGUUGAGCAAACUCGGUGUUAUAGUACCGUUGAUAAAUACUAAUCUCCGAAAAGCAUCGCUUCUCCACAGCAUCAACGUUGCCAAUUGCCAAGCGAUAAUAUACGGCGCUGAUUUAGGCGACGCCGUUAAAGAUAUAUCUUCGUCUAUAAACGCGAAGACAGCAUUAUACAGAUUUUCGGAAACGACAAAUUCACCUUCUAAUGGACUGAAGGAAAAAGAUCUCACCGCUAUUCUCGUUGAUGCCCCAACCACACCGCCUGUAAUCAAAGACAAGGGCGGAUACAGUGAUAAACUCCUUUAUAUUUACACUAGCGGUACAACCGGCCUGCCAAAAGCUGCCGUGAUCACAAACUCCAGGUACUUAUUCAUCGCUAGCGGUAUCCACUAUGUCGCAGGUUUUCGAAACAGUGAUAGAUUUUACACUCCACUACCAUUGUACCACACGGCUGGCGGUAUCAUGUCGAUAGGUCAAGCUUUACUACACGGUUCAACGGUUGUGAUUAGGAAAAAGUUUUCGGCCAGCUCGUAUUUUACCGAUUGUGCUAAAUACCAGUGUACUAUAGCUCAAUAUAUUGGGGAAAUGUGUCGCUAUGUACUGGCAGUACCGCCAAAACCAGAAGACAAGCAACACAAUGUUCGAAUGAUUUUUGGUAAUGGGCUGAGGCCGCAAAUUUGGAGUGAUUUCGUUAAUCGUUUCAAAAUAGCAAAAGUUGCCGAAUUUUACGGAGCUACCGAAGGAAAUGCUAACAUUGUAAACAUCGACAACACCGUUGGAGCUAUCGGUUUCGUCUCAAGAAUCAUUCCAGCAGUGUAUCCGAUUUCUAUAAUUAAGGUAGAUGCAAAUGGAGAGCCAAUCAGAAAUUCUAAGGGACUUUGUAUGACCUGCGAGCCAAAUGAACCUGGCGUUUUCAUCGGUAAAAUCAUGCCGAAUAAUCCAACAAGAGCAUUCCUGGGUUACGUUGACUCUAAGGCAUCCAAAAGCAAAAUCGUUCAUGAUGUCUUCGCCAAGGGUGAUUCUGCCUUUAUUUCUGGUGACAUCUUGGUAGCCGAUGAGUUGGGAUACCUGUUCUUUAAAGAUCGCACCGGUGAUACAUACAGAUGGAAAGGUGAAAAUGUAUCGACAUCAGAAGUCGAGGCGAUUGUCAGCAACCUUGCUAAUUACAAGGAUUGCGUCGUUUACGGUGUUGAGAUUCAAGGAGCUGAAGGAAGGGCUGGAAUGGCAGCUAUUUACGACCCAGAUGACACACUAAACCUAGAGCAGCUAGUGUUGGGGAUGAAAGAGCAACUGCCAACAUAUGCUAGACCUCAAUUCAUCAGAGCUUUGAGAAAGAUUGAUAUGACUGGUACAUUCAAAAUAAAGAAGAAAGAUCUGCAGAACGAAGGUUACGAUCCAACUAAGAUUCAGGACAAAUUAUAUUACUUGGAUCCAAAGUCUGGCUACAACGUUUUAACACCUGAAGCGUUUGAACAGAUACAACAAGGCAAGAUUCGUUUGUAAAUAGAAAAACGUUGGCAUAAAUCAACUGUCUAGGAGCAGUAAGAAUGCUAUUUUAUUUGAACCGCGUGAGAAGCCGACGUGCAAUAUAAACACGGGUAAAAAUAAAAAAACAACUUUGUGUUGUAAAAGAUGAAAGGGAAAAAAGUGAUAAUGAUUUGAAGCCUCGGUGAUCUGAUUUAAGGCAGUCGACAAUUUUUUUUUUCACUGCCGGAAGUGUAGCAUAAUACCUAUACGGAUUUGUCACAUGUGUUUAAACGCGCAUAAUUUUUUCCUCAUAUUUAUUUAUUUUUUAUCCCCAUGUGUGUUGAUUUUACCUACAUACCUGAUUCAUUUUUUUCAAUUGGAUAAAGCUAUGAUAAUAAUAUAGCCUGAUUGAAUAAAUAAUUAAAUGUAAUAAUUGAUUAACUAAAACGGUGAAAUACUCUAUACGGCGGUAAACGUCAGGGUUGUGAUUUGUAACCGGUUAUUUUUUUACGGAUAUUACAUGUAACGCACAAUGAAGAAUUCCGAAUUGCAUUGUUGUUGACAUAUGAAUGAUUGAGGUAACUCAAAACGCAAUGUAUUGCUACGACUGACUUGAACGGUGUCAAUGUAAAUGAAAGAUUGAUGAAAAAAAAAUAUAUACAUAUAAGGAAAAAAAUGACAACAUUCAAUCUUAAUAAAGUGAAAUUGUAUAGAUUUACCGAAUAUAAAAGUAUCGAUGCAACAUCUACAGAAUUCUUGUAUUACUUGUUAAUACGGCUCUGGAUGACCCGGCUGCAUCGAUUUAGAACUUAACUAUACGCUCGCGCUUCAAUCAUACAAUAACAAAUUUCGUGUACACGAGGUUUGUAAAGACGGAAACUCGACCUUACAAAUAGAUCGUGUGUACCAUGCUCUGAAGUCAUAAUCUGUAUAGAGAUGAAUUUUGGUUUAUAUUAUAAUUCUAUAGCCCGAGAUAUAACGCAACUCUAGCUUACGACUAAAGAAUAAAGGAGACAUCACCGUUAUCAUCCCAACCAUUUCAUGAGGUGUAUGUUUUUAUAAUAUUGCCACUAAAAUUUAGCAAAGAUUGUUACUUGUUAUUUUUUUAGAAUAAAAAAAUGUUCAUUAUUUUCUAAA
rnacentral:misc_RNA from 1 species